rnacentral:misc_RNA from 1 species
UACGGAGGGUGCGAGCGUUAAUCGGAAUUACUGGGCGUAAAGCGCGCGUAGGCGGAGUGAUAAGCCGGUUGUGAAAGCCCCAGGCUCAACCCGGGAACGGCAUCCGGAACUGUCACGCUAGAGUGCAGGGGAGGAAGGUAGAAUUCCCGGUGUAGCGGUGAAAUGCGUAGAGACCGGGAGGAAUUCCAGUGGUGAAGGCGGCCUUCUGGACUGACACGGACGCUGAGGUGCGAAAGCGUGGGUAGCAAACAGG